GACGAACGCUGGCGGCGUGCCUAAUACAUGCAAGUUGAGCGCUGAAGGUUGGUACUUGUACCAACUGGAUGAGCAGCGAACGGGUGAGUAACGCGUGGGGAAUCUGCCUUUGAGCGGGGGACAACAUUUGGAAACGAAUGCUAAUACCGCAUAAAAACUUUAAACACAAGUUUUAAGUUUGAAAGAUGCAAUUGCAUCACUCAAAGAUGAUCCCGCGUUGUAUUAGCUAGUUGGUGAGGUAAAGGCUCACCAAGGCGAUGAUACAUAGCCGACCUGAGAGGGUGAUCGGCCACAUUGGGACUGAGACACGGCCCAACCUCCUACGGGAGGCAGCAGUAGGGAAUCUUCGGCAAUGGACGAAAGUCUGACCGAGCAACGCCGCGUGAGUGAAGAAGGCUUUCGGAUCGUAAAACUCUGUUGGUAGAGAAGAACGUUGGUGAGAGUGGAAAGCUCAUCAAGUGACGGUAACUACCCAGAAAGGGACGGCUAACUACGUG
rnacentral:rRNA from 1 species